GCUUACGGCCAUACCACCCUGAGCACGUCCGAUCUCCUCUGAUCUCGGAAGCUAAGCAGGAUUGGGCCUGGUUACUACUUGGAUGGGAGACCACCUGGGAAUACAAAGUGCUGUAAGCU
rnacentral:rRNA from 1 species